UACGUAGGGUGCAAGCGUUAAUCGGAAUUACUGGGCGUAAAGCGUGCGCAGGCGGUUGUGCAAGACCGAUGUGAAAUCCCCGGGCUUAACCUGGGAAUGGCAUUGGUGACUGCACGGCUAGAGUGUGUCAGAGGGGGUAGAAUUCCACGUGUAGCAGUGAAAUGCGUAGAGAUGUGGAGGAAUACCGAUGGCGAAGGCAGCCCCCUGGGAUAACACUGACGCUCAUGGCACGAAAGCGUAGGGGAGCAAACAGG
rnacentral:rRNA from 1 species